rnacentral:rRNA from 1 species
AUGGGGGGACAUCAAGAGAUUUGCCACCUGACCUCUAUGAGCUGUACAAGACAGAUCCAGAAGAGGAUUACAAUCAGCUCGCCUGUUCUCACGAACAGCGAACUCAUCAGCAUUGGUCGUCCUUUGACGCCAAUUGCUCAGGAUAAUUCAUGGGCUGAUCACCCUCAAGACUCCCCCCGUCAAGAAGAAUCACCACGUACUCCCCCAACUCAAGUCACCACUCCGGUGCUUGAUGACGAUGACUUUGAGGCCCAGCCUACUCCAUCUCCACAAGCGUCGCCAGCGUUUCGCAGGCUUCACAAAGGACCAAGGCCACAAGUCACUCUUUCGAGUGUUCCAGAAGGAGAAGAGCUCCACCACUCUGUCUCACGACAAGUGUUUCCUGAAGUCUCUCAAACUGCGAACAUCUCAGAGUCUGAAGCCAAAGCGGCUGAAGACAUUCCGGCUGCAUCAGCCGAUGAACAAGAAGAACCAAGAGCAGAAGAUGAACGUGUUGCUACACCCCCUUCCAACCCUGAAGUUGUUCUCGAGGAGAACAUGCCCGACCCUCCAGCUACUCAAGUGGAGGCUGACAACACUGAGGCAACCACCAACACCAAUACUGAAGCCAAUGACGUUGUCAUGGCUGAAGCUAAUGUGGCGCCUGAAGUUAAUGUGGUGCCAGAAGUAGUUGCACCUGAAGCCAAUGCUCGAAGCUUGAAGGAGCAAUUGGCUGCAUUUGAGGAUGAUAUAUUCAAGUUUGACACCACUCCUCCAAGGAAUGCUGUCUUGCGUCGGACUCCCUCUCUUGAAGACUCUGACUAUUCCUCCUCAGCUGUCACAGUCAAUGCCAGAGUCAUUGAUGACCAAGAUGAUGCUACCUCACCACCUCCAACUUCGGCGCGUAUCGACACUGCACCAAGUUCUUCUGCACCACCUAACCUCAACGACGACCCUGCAGCUUCACCGCCUACUCCUCAUGGGAACGAUUUGUCAUCAAUCACCAAAAAGGGGGAGAUUGAUAACACAGGUAGUAGUCCCUCAUUGAUUCGGUUUACCUACCGGAGAUGA